rnacentral:sRNA from 1 species
GCUGGGCGUGGUGGCUCAUGCCUGUAAUCCCAGCAGCUCCAGAAGCUGAGACAGGAGGAUCCCCAAUUCAAAGCCAGACUCAGCAAAAGUGAGGCUCUAAGCAACUCAGAGAGACCCUAUCUCUA